rnacentral:rRNA from 1 species
UACGUAGGAAGCAAGCGUUGUCCGGAAUCACUGGGCGUAAAGCGCGUGUAGGCGGUAUGGCAAGUCUGCUGUGAAAGCGCUCGGCUUAACCGGGCGAGGUCGGUGGAAACUGCCACACUGGAGGACGGUAGAGGGGGGUGGAAUUCCCGGUGUAGUGGUGAAAUGCGUAGAGAUCGGGAGGAACACCUGUGGCGAAGGCGGCCCCCUGGGCCGGCCCUGACGCUGAGACGCGAAAGCGCGGGGAGCGAACGGG